GUACAUCAAGCGAUGAGAACUUUUGAAUAUUGUACUUUCAGACGCAUGAAAUUGUGUUCUGAACCUGAAAACAUGAUCUGGACGCAUGCGUAGUAAGGGACACGUUUCCUGCGUCAAAACGUACCACGUUGUAGCCCCUCCCACCUCAAUAUCCGGGACUUUGACUCUGUUUGACUUCCGGCAUGUGGCGAUGAAUCGCUUAUUCAGACAGGGAGAUGAGGUUUCUUAAAUAUGGAUCAAAGUGUUGAAAUUACUCAAUUACAUUUACAAAAUGAAAACGUUACAGCAAGGCGUUUGUGAGAAAAAUGAAUGAAGAAAUUAAAACAACUUUUUCCACAUUGCAUUACAACUACAUAGCUGACGCUGGAUUGCUAAAUUAGUUUAUUUUCAUUGAAGUAGCAUGGCUAGUUAGCUAGUUAGCAAUAGUCUUCUGUCUAGACUCUAGCCUGUAACUAAUGGUUGUUACGUUGUGGAACAGAGCAAUAGUUAUUUCUACUUGUCAUUAGUUUGAGACUAACAUUAGUUAGAAAAUAAUUGUUUACUUUGUGUAUAUUUGUUGUGUAAUUGGUUGGCGUUGCUAGUUAGCAAGCUGAGAUUGAUUUGCUCAAAUUGGCUAAUUUUGCGAUUAACUAGUGUUUUAAUAAGAGAACAGGCUAGCUCCCUGCACAACCUAGAGUAGAGAAUGUGGAAUAAGAUUUGUCUGUUGCAGUGCCCAGACGAGGUGAGAGCAAACUGCUACAGAGAUAAAAGCCACAACAUCAUAAUCAAGUACUCAAGCAUCUGCAGACCAACGAGGAGGAGGAAGGCUUAUAGAACAUGAAUUACUAGCUCGUUAUAUCAGAGACAUUUUAUUGGCUUGCUAAAUGAGCUGCUUUUCCUGAAAAUGUCUCUGAUAAAACUACACUGUUAGAAAAAAAGCAGACGCUCUUAUCCAGAGCAAACACCAUGCUCUACCAACUGAGCCACAGGGAACUGAGCCACAGGGAACUGAGCCACAGGGAACUGUUGUUAGACACAACUUGAUGAACAGGUAGUCAAGCCCCUGAAGACCAGCGAGGAGGAGAAAAGCCUGCUGUGGAUGAGCAAGCUAGAACAAUAACACCUAGCUAUAUCAGAUAAACAUGUUCAGGAAAAGCAGGGAGCUAGUAGUAGUAACAUUAUUAUUUGAAACCUCACAUGCUCAUAAUCUGUAUCUGUGUUCUAUUUAAGCAAUAAGGCACCUCAGGGGUUUGUGGUAUAUGGACGAUAUACCAGGGCUAAGGGCUGUUCUUAUGCACGACGUAAC
rnacentral:lncRNA from 1 species